ACUUCAGAUGCGUCUAAUGUUUGUUUUGCAUCCCUUUCCUAUGUGAUUUACGAAAUAUUUGAAUUACUUUUUUGGCUUCCAGAGUUUGUGUAAAUGUCGGAAGGCAUAGAUGUUUCUAAAAAUGAUUCUAAAAUAAGCGCAAGUAGGGAUAAAAAUAAUGAAUCUAGUGGCAAGUUACAAUACAUUCGUGAAGAAACACUUGUGACUUUGGAUAGAACUGCAGAUUACCGCGUAGAUAUCAACGUAAUGGUGUAGAGGGCCUAUUAUGCUGCUGCGAAAUGCAAUAAAGGGAAAAAAAACACAUAAGAAGCACAGACAUGUACUCUACACGCAAAAGGGAUUGAAGCCCCAUUUGUGGUUCCGUAGACCGCUGUGUUUCAGUCACUGUCGCCUGUUGCCACAAAUUCAUGGAUCCCGAGAACAGCGUGGCCACAACAGGUGCCUGAGGGUGUCAUGACGACAUCGCGGGACGACCCCAUGGAGACGGAGCCUUUGCCUCCUCCGCGUCCUCUAGUCUUACCGAUGGAGCUAGCUGACGCCUUCUACUUCUUGUUGUGGACCUCUGGAGGUGGACGCGUACCCUUCUGGGCGUUUUCUGGGGGUCGUUUCCACCAGAGUGAAGGCCGGACGACGGGGUACGACAGGGAGCGUGACGACCCCUGCAGCCACAGCUUCCGGUACCUCAGAGCAUCUACGCUCCCGUCUCCCCCGCUGUAGUCGUGCUCCCUAUACGACUAGGGGGGGGGGGGGGGGUGAGGAGGGGGAUGUUACGGCGUAAAGUCAAGCGCUGGCACGCUAGUCGGGAACGACAAGGAAGAGAAGGCUGUGAGAAGAAGUCCGUCAAUCGCACGCCGAUCGGACCUCCUUCUAGGACGACAACGUGACAGCAGCGGCCCCUAUGUGAAGAUAUGAAGAAGGCAUAAGCACCAUGACCGACUGGUGACGGCCCCAGUUCAAUAGCAACUUCAAGACUAUUGGCUUGGAUAGCAGCUUCAACGCUAGAUCACUUCGCUUGUACUCUCUAUGUAGUACAAACUUGAGAUUGUCUAUACUGAAGAAAAUUGCUUAUUUUGUAUGUCGCCCUUUGCUUGCGACACA